AGCUUUGCGCAGUGGCAGUAUCGUAGCCAAUGAGGUUUAUCCGAGGCGCGAUUAUUGCUAAUUGGAAGUUUUCCCAUAAAAAAAAUCUAUAUUUCCAGCAUCUUCUGAAGAAUCAGAAGAUCUGGCACCCCGGUUCCCACUGGG
ensembl:snRNA U4 U4 spliceosomal RNA